AUUGAACGCUGGCGGCAGGCCUAACACAUGCAAGUCGAACGAGUGGCGGACGGGUGUGUAAUGUGUGGGAAACUGCCCGAUGGCGGGGGAUAACUACUGGAAACGGUAGCUAAUACCGCAUACCAUCGGAUUUGCCCAGAUGGGAUUAGCUAGUAGGUGGGGUAACGGCUCACCUAGGCGACGAUCCCGAGCUGGUCUGAGAGGAUGACCAGCCCACUGGCAACUGGGACACGGUCCAGACUCCUACGUGAGGCCGCAGUGGGGAAUCUUGCACAAUGGGCGCAAGCCUGAUGCAGCCAUGCCGCGUGUAUGAAGAAGGCCUUCGGGUUGUAAAGUACUUUUAGCGGGGAGUCGUUGCUCGCAGACGAAGCACCGGCUAACUCCGUGCCAGCAGCCGCGGUAAUAC
rnacentral:rRNA from 1 species